UGACGUGCUUUCAGUCGGUGUGUAAUGUGUAAAUCUCAAAAAUCAUCUGUUGCACUCGAUGAAUUCAUUUUAAAAAAUGUCUUGAAUGCACAGCCAGUUAAGGUAGCAAAUUUCACUUUCAGUACCGAUAUGAAUAAUUAUGUACGUAAACUUAUAUUUUCAAGAAACAUUUUCAAUAAAUACACAAACACUUUGUCAGCGAGAUGUCUUGUUCAGGCCUGGCGAACACUCACCGGAGCCUGAAAUGGAGUGUCCUAGAAAGUAUGUAUGUUGAAGUUUUUUAAAGGCUCAAGCAAAAUACCAGUUUACAUUGAAGAACUCACAAAUGUAAACAUCUCAAUUCAGGAAGAAAGAGAAUAUAGCGAGAAAUUGACCUAGUUGGUGUUCGUUCAUCUUGUCAUGCGCUAAGUACAACAGUAAAUGUAUUAACGCCAUAGGACAGACCAGGCAAGGACUCCAUCGUCCGUCCAUGUCCGGUGUGUCCGAUCGUGGUUGUCAGUUGGAUUAAGCACAAUUACAAGACGAAAUAAAUUCAUAUUUAAUGUAGGCAAUACUCUGUCUUCUAUUUCUUCUUGUUUCAGGUGGACAUACCUUGCGCGGGUUGUGAUGGGUUCCCAGGUCUACCCGACGCCGCGUGGGCAGAAAGACACGUUGUGCAACGCAAUGGUAGUGACGGCUGACUCACUGGAUCACGCUCUCAUGGACGCCAGGAGAACAUGGACACGGCCUCGGGAAAACUACGAGUCCAGUCCCGUCGCGGCGCCUGGCCUACUCGCACUACAGGUAC